rnacentral:rRNA from 1 species
CAAUCUACCUUUCCGUCCGGGAUAACUAGCCGAAAGGUUAGCUAAUACCAGAUGCGCUCAUCGAACGGCAUCGUUUGAUGAUGAAAGCAGCAAUGCGCGGAUUGAGGAGCCUGCGGCCCAUUAGCUAGUUGGUGAGGUAACGGCCCACCAGGCAACGAUGGGUAGCUGGUCUGAGAGGACGACCAGCCACACUGGGACUGAGACACGGCCCAG